rnacentral:snRNA from 1 species
GUCCAUUCCUGAACACAUACUAAAAUUGGAACAAAACAGAGAAGAUUAGCAUGGCCCCUGCGUAAGGAUGACACGCAAAUUCGUGAAGCGUUUCAAAAAUUU